rnacentral:rRNA from 1 species
CUACGGGUGGCUCCAGUGAGGAGUAUUGCACAAUGGGGGGAACCCUGAUGCAGCAACGCCGCGUGGAGGAUGACGCAUUUCGGUGUGUAAACUCCUUUUAUAUGUCAAGAAAAUGACGGUAGCUCAUGAAUAAGCACCGGCUAACUCCGUGCCAGCAGCCGCGGUAAUACGGAGGGUGCAAGCGUUACUCGGAAUCACUGGGCGUAAAGGAUGCGUAGGCGGGUUGGAAAGUCAGGUGUGAAAUCCUACAGCUUAACUGUAGAACUGCACUUGAAACUUCUAAUCUAGAGUAUGGGAGGGGGAGAUGGAAUUAGUGGUGUAGGGGUAAAAUCCGUAGAUAUCACUAGGAAUACCUAAAGCGAAGGCGAUCUCCUGGAACAUUACUGACGCUAAGGCGUGAAAGCGUGGGGAGCAAACAGGAUUAGAUACCCUCGUAGUC